rnacentral:rRNA from 1 species
AUGUAAGACCCCUUGAAGACGACGAGGUAGAUAGGUUGGAGGUGGAAGCACGGCAACGUGUGGAGCUGACCAAUACUAAUCGGUCGAGGGCUUAUCCAAAA